UACGUAGGGUGCGAGCGUUAAUCGGAAUUACUGGGCGUAAAGCGUGCGCGGGCGGCUUUGCAAGACAGAGGUGAAAUCCCCGGGCUCAACCUGGGAACUGCCUUUGUGACUGCAAGGCUAGAGUACGGCAGAGGGGGAUGGAAUUCCGCGUGUAGCAGUGAAAUGCGUAGAUAUGCGGAGGAACACCGAUGGCGAAGGCAAUCCCCUGGGCCUGUACUGACGCUCAUGCACGAAGGCGUGGGGAGCAAACAGGAUUAG
rnacentral:rRNA from 1 species